GACGAACGCUGGCGGCGUGCUUAACACAUGCAAGUCGAACGAAGUGGCGAACGGGUGAGUAACGCGUAAUCAACCUGCUCUUCAGAGGGGGACAACAGUUGGAAACGACUGCUAAUACAGCAUACUGAAGGAGGGGAUUGCGUCUGAUUAGCUAGCUGGAGGGGUAACGGCCCACCAAGGCGAAGUUCAGUAGGCGGUCUGGGAGGAUGAACGGCCACAAUGGGGCUGAGGCACGGCCCAGACGCCUGAGGGAGGCAGCAGUGGGGAAUCUUCCGGAAUGGGCGAAAGUCUGACGGAGCAACGCCGCGUGAGUGGUAACGGCCUUCGGGUUGUAAAGGUCUGUUAAUCGGGACGCGGUACCGGAAUAGAAAGCCACGGCUAACUACGUGCCAGCAGCCGCGGUAAUAC
rnacentral:rRNA from 1 species